CAUCACUACGCUAGAUGCAUAUCAAUAAGCGGAGGAAAAGAAACUAACAAGGAUUCCCUUAGUAACGGCGAGUGAAGCGGGAGGAGCUCAAAUUUGAAAUCUUCAAGGUUUUACCUUGACGAAUUGUAGUUUAAAGAAGUGUUUUCUGUUGAAGUUUUGGUAAAAGUUCUUUGGAAUAGGACAUCAUAGAGGGUGAGAAUCCCGUAUUUGACCAUUAUUUUCAGCUGUGUGAUACACUUUCAAAGAGUCGGAUUGUUUGGGAAUGCAGUCCAAAAUGGGUGGUAAAUUUCAUCUAAAGCUAAAUAUUGGCGAGAGACCGAUAGCGAACAAGUACCGUGAGGGAAAGAUGAAAAGAACUUUGAAAAGAGAGUUAAACAGUACGUGAAAUUGUCAAAAGGGAAGCGUUUGACACCAGUGUUGUUUUCUCGAAAAUCAAUUAAAAAGGAUGGGAUUUUGUGUUGUAUUGACCUUUAUCAAGCUUUCUUCACUCUUUUUCUUAGUCUUUUUUAAUGCACUUUUCGUUUAACAAGUCAACAUCAGUUUCUUUUGCUGUAAAAGGUCAUUGGAAGGUGGCUUUCUUUUCGGAGAAAGUGUUUAUAGCCUUUGAUCUCUGCAACCGGAGAGACUGAGGUCUGCAGCGUAGACUCUUUGGGGCUAAAUACAUUUGUGCUAAGUUAUAGCAUUUUUAUAGACAACUUGUUGACUAUGAUUUAGUCUUGUAGGCUUACUCGCUUAUGUUAUUUUACCUACGCUUAGGAUGUUGAGUAGCGACAUACGCAC
rnacentral:rRNA from 1 species